rnacentral:lncRNA from 1 species
UGUCUAUGUAACGAAAAGGGAUACAUCUCCUACUUGUCGUAGCUGACUGGGAUGCAGAAAGCAAUCUGCCUGGUGCUGAGCACUGUACUCCGUACCAAUGCCUGGGAGAGCCAAGAGCAUCUCAGGAAGGAGAUUCUAAAUUGAAGAUAUUUCUACUGAGUACCCUGCUGGCCAAAAAUCCCAGUAGGAAGAGCGAGCGGUUCACGGAAAAACCCAGCCCAGUAUCAGAAAGCUGAAGCACUGGGGGAUAGCAUUUCUCUGUCAUCUAAAGAGAAAGUAUACGCAGCCUCAAAAAAAAAAAAAAUGUAUCAUUGGCCUUUUUAACUCUGCCUGCCUCACGUGACAAGUCCUAACCUUUAACCUUACCCAAGCCUGACGGCCACCUCGGCUUGUAACUCCUCUCCACCACCGUCUGACACUGAAUCCCAGACACCUGUGCACACAUCUGCAUCAUAAGGAAAGAGAGACUCCAGAUUCCAGGCUCUAACUAGAAAAUGCCAAAAUCUAACGGCAAGACGGUACUGUAGUUUAUGCCUGCUUCCUCUAGCAAGUGAAUAUAACUCAUGUUUUGGGGUUUGGUUGUUGUGGUUGUUGUUGCUGCUGCUGCUGUUGUUGUUUUGUUUUCCUGCCCAGAGCACCGAUUUCACUCUUUUCCAUGAUUUCAGCUUUUUCACACCUACACUCACAGUCUUAGAGGAUGGCUGGACAUCCCUAAGUCUCUCUGCUUGGCCUUUUGGAGGUGUGGGCUAAUAUAGAAAGUGGAGCAAUAAGAACUCCCCGCAUUUAAAAUAAAUAAAAGGGGCAAAAGCAAUUUUAAAAAUAAAAGCUUACUCCGAAGACAAAUAGUAUCACUGACCGACAUUAUUUUGAGUGGUAAGUAGCUGUCCCCUGAUCAGGAUCUGUUUCUUGUCUGUCUUCCUCCACUGGUGUGACAGGAGUGUUUUGACUAAGGGUCACCUGAAGUAGCAGGUGUCCUCUGACUAAGGAUCUCCCCCUUGGAGAUCCCCAGAAUUGCACCAUGUUGGCCCUCUCCAGCCAUCUCUAUACAAACCCUGGCCACAGCAAUGCCACUCUGAGUCUCAG